UCCGGUUUGGCACCGGCAGUCCUCCCAGAGUCCUCGACUUGACUCGUUAGCAACUGGGAGCGGGGGUUGCGCUCGUUGCGGGACUUAACCCAACAUCUCACGACACGAGCUGACGACAGCCAUGCAGCACCUGUCUCUGCGCUCCCGAAGGCACCAAUCUAUCUCUAGAAAGUUCGCAGGAUGUCAAGGCCAGGUAAGGUUCUUCGCGUUGCAUCGAAUUAAACCACAUGCUCCACCGCUUGUGCGGGCCCCCGUCAAUUCAUUUGAGUUUUAACCUUGCGGUCGUACUCCCCAGGCGGUCGACUUAUCGCGUUAACUGCGCCACUAAGUUCUUUUAUGAACCCAACGGCUAGUCGACAUCGUUUAGGGCGUGGACUAC
rnacentral:misc_RNA from 1 species